ACUCCUACGGGAGGCAGCAGUAGGGAAUAUUAGAAAUGGACGAAAGUCUGAUCUAGCAACACCGCGUGUGCGAAGAAGGCCUUCGGGUCGUAAAGCACUUUUUGGAAGGAAUAGGAAGGAAUGUACUUCCAGAAUAAGUCUCGGCUAACUACGUGCCAGCAGCCGCGGUAACACGUAGGAGGCAAACGUUAUCCGGAUUUACUGGGCGUAAAGCGCGUGUAGGUGGUACUGUAAGUAGGGCGUGAAAGCUCCUGGCUCAACUGGGAGAGGCCGUUCUAAACUACAGAACUAGAGGAUGGUAGAGGGAGGUGGAAUUCCAGGUGUAGCGGUGGAAUGCGCAGAUAUCUGGAGGAACACCGGCGGCGAAGGCGGCCUCCUGGACCAUUCCUGACACUCAGACGCGAAAGCUAGGGUAGCAAACGGGAUUAGAGACCCCGGUAGUCCUAGCCCUAAACGAUGUAGACUAGGCGUCGGAAGCUUAAUCGCUUUCGGUGUCCAAGCUAACGCGAUAAGUCUACCGCCUGGGGACUACGGCCG
rnacentral:rRNA from 1 species